rnacentral:rRNA from 1 species
AUUGAGCGCUGGCGGCAGGCCUAACACAUGCAAGUCGAACGGUAACAGAAAGCAGCUUGCUGCUUUGCUGACGAGUGGCGGACGGGUGAGUAAUGUCUGGGAAACUGCCUGAUGGAGGGGGAUAACUACUGGAAACGGUAGCCAAUACCGCAUAACGUCGCAAGACCAAAGAGGGGGACCUUCGGGCCUCUUGCCAUCGGAUGUGCCCAGAUGGGAUUAGCUAGUAGGUGGGGUAACGGCUCACCUAGGCGACGAUCCCUAGAUGGUCUGAGAGGAUGACCAGCCACACUGGAACUGAGACACGGUCCAGACUCCUACGGGAGGCAGCAGUGGGGAAUAUUGCACAAUGGGCGCAAGCCUGAUGCAGCCAUGCCGCGUGUAUGAAGAAGGCCUUCGGGUUGUAAAGUACUUUCAGCGGGGAGGAAGGGAGUAAAGUUAAUACCUUUGCUCAUUGACGUUACCCGCAGAAGAAGCACCGGCUAACUCCGUG